GGGCCCGCACAAGUGGUGGAGCAUGUGGUUUAAAUUCGAUGCAACGCGAAAAACCUUACCUACCCUUGAAAUCCAGCGAAGUUUUCAGAGAUGAGAAUGUGCCUUCGGGAACGCUGUGACAGGUGUUGCAUGGCUGUCGUCAGCUCGUGUCGUGAGAUGUAUGGUUAAGUCCAGUAACGAGCGCAACCCCUAUCCUUAUUUGCCAGCACGUUAAGGUGGGAACUAUAGGGAGACUGCCGGGUGAAACCCGGAGGAAGGCGGGGACGAGGUCAAGUCAUCAUGGCCCUUAUGGGUAGGGCUACACACGUGCUACAAUGGGAAGUACAGAGGGAUGCCAAAGCGCAAGCUGGAGCUAAACCCUUAAAACUUUUCUUAGUCCGGAUUGGAGUCUGCAACUCGACUCCAUGAAGUCGGAAUCACUAGUAA
rnacentral:rRNA from 1 species